rnacentral:rRNA from 1 species
AUUGAACGCUGGCGGCAGGCCUAACACAUGCAAGUCGAGCGAGCGGCGGACGGGUGAGUAAUGUAUGGGGACUGCCCGAUCGAGGGGGAUAACUACUGGAAACGGUGGCUAAUACCGCAUACUAUCGGAUAACCCAUAUGGGAUUAGCUAGUAGGGGGGGUAAAGGCUCACCUAGGCGACGAUCGCUAGCUGGUGUGAGAGGAUGAGCAGCCACACUGGGACUGAGACACGGCCCAGACUCCUACGGAGGCAGCAGUGGGGAACAUUGGACAAUGGGCGAAAGCCGGAUGGAGCAAUGCCGCGGGUAUGAAGCAGGCCUUCGGGUUGUAAAGUACUUUCAGCGGGGAGGCGUUACCCGCAGAAGAAGCACCGGCUAACUCCGUGCCAGCAGCCGCGGUAAUAC